rnacentral:rRNA from 1 species
CUGCUCAGGACGAACGCUGGCGGCGUGCCUAAUACAUGCAAGUCGAGCGGACAGAUGGGAGCUUGCUCCCUGAUGUUAGCGGCGGACGGGUGAGUAACACGUGGGUAACCUGCCUGUAAGACUGGGAUAACUCCGGGAAACCGGGGCUAAUACCGGAUGGUUGUUUGAACCGCAUGGUUCAAACAUAAAAGGUGGCUUCGGCUACCACUUACAGAUGGACCCGCGGCGCAUUAGCUAGUUGGUGAGGUAACGGCUCACCAAGGCAACGAUGCGUAGCCGACCUGAGAGGGUGAUCGGCCACACUGGGACUGAGACACGGCCCAGACUCCUACGGGAGGCAGCAGUAGGGAAUCUUCCGCAAUGGACGAAAGUCUGACGGAGCAACGCCGCGUGAGUGAUGAAGGUUUUCGGAUCGUAAAGCUCUGUUGUUAGGGAAGAACAAGUACCGUUCGAAUAGGGCGGUACCUUGACGGUACCUAACCAGAAAGCCACGGCUAACUACGUGCCAGCAGCCGCGGUAAUACGUAGGUGGCAAGCGUUGUCCGGAAUUAUUGGGCGUAAGGGCUCGCAGGCGGUUUCUUAAGUCUGAUGUGAAAGCCCCCGGCUCAACCGGGGAGGGUCAUUGGAAACUGGGGAACUUGAGUGCAGAAGAGGAGAGUGGAAUUCCACGUGUAGCGGUGAAAUGCGUAGAGAUGUGGAGGAACACCAGUGGCGAAGGCGACUCUCUGGUCUGUAACUGACGCUGAGGAGCGAAAGCGUGGGGAGCGAACAGGAUUAGAUACCCUGGUAGUCCACGCCGUAAACGAUGAGUGCUAAGUGUUAGGGGGUUUCCGCCCCUUAGUGCUGCAGCUAACGCAUUAAGCACUCCGCCUGGGGAGUACGGUCGCAAGACUGAAACUCAAAGGAAUUGACGGGGGCCCGCACAAGCGGUGGAGCAUGUGGUUUAAUUCGAAGCAACGCGAAGAACCUUACCAGGUCUUGACAUCCUCUGACAAUCCUAGAGAUAGGACGUCCCCUUCGGGGGCAGAGUGACAGGUGGUGCAUGGUUGUCGUCAGCUCGUGUCGUGAGAUGUUGGGUUAAGUCCCGCAACGAGCGCAACCCUUGAUCUUAGUUGCCAGCAUUCAGUUGGGCACUCUAAGGUGACUGCCGGUGACAAACCGGAGGAAGGUGGGGAUGACGUCAAAUCAUCAUGCCCCUUAUGACCUGGGCUACACACGUGCUACAAUGGACAGAACAAAGGGCAGCGAAACCGCGAGGUUAAGCCAAUCCCACAAAUCUGUUCUCAGUUCGGAUCGCAGUCUGCAACUCGACUGCGUGAAGCUGGAAUCGCUAGUAAUCGCGGAUCAGCAUGCCGCGGUUGAAUACGUUCCCGGGCCUUGUACACACCGCCCGUCACACCACGAGAGUUUGUAACACCCGAAGUCGGUGAGGUAACCUUUUAGGAGCCAGCCGCCGAAGGUGGGACAGAUGAUUGGG